rnacentral:rRNA from 1 species
GUUGGUGUCGAUUACGGUGAGGGUACACCCGUUCCCAUCCCGAACACGGAAGUUAAGCUCAUUUGUGCCGACAAUACUUGGCUGGAGACGGCCCGGGAAGAUAGGUAGACGCCAACG